GCACCUAUAGCUCAAUUGGAUAGAGCAUCUGGCUACGGACCAGAAGGUUAUGGGUUCGACUCCUAUUGGGUGCGCCA
rnacentral:tRNA from 1 species